rnacentral:rRNA from 1 species
GACGAACGCUGGCGGCGCGCCUAACACAUGCAAGUCGAACGAGCGAGAGAGAGCUUGCUUUCUUGAGCGAGUGGCGAACGGGUGAGUAACGCGUGAGGAACCUGCCUCAAAGAGGGGGACAACAGUUGGAAACGACUGCUAAUACCGCAUAAGCCCACGACCCGGCAUCGGGUUGAGGGAAAAGGAGCAAUCCGCUUUGAGAUGGCCUCGCGUCCGAUUAGCUAGUUGGUGAGGUAACGGCCCACCAAGGCGACGAUCGGUAGCCGGACUGAGAGGUUGAACGGCCACAGUGGGACUGAGACACGGCCCAGACUCCUACGGGAGGCAGCAGUGGGGAAUAUUGCACAAUGGGGGAAACCCUGAUGCAGCGACGCCGCGUGGAGGAAGAAGGUCUUCGGAUUGUAAACUCCUGUUGUGGAGGAAGAUAAUGACGGUACUCAACAAGGAAGUGACGGCUAACUACGUG